rnacentral:rRNA from 1 species
AUGAAAAUCCUCUGCCGUGGCCUCACCUCGAGGUUACAAAAGCAGAUCGGGGCCAUCAUUGACGUCGACCAGUCUGGGUUCCUGGCGGGAAGGAGCAUCUCCGAGAACUUCGUCUAUGCUGCCGAAGUGAUCCAGAGCUGCCACAAACGAGGGGCGCCUGCCCUCGUGUUCAAGCUGGACUUCGCCAAGGCGUUCGACUCGGUCGACUGGGGGGCGCUACGCCGGAUCCUCAUGGCGCGCGGCUUCCCCGAGCGGUGGUGCACCUGGAUGGACCUGAUCUUCGAGUCCUCACGGUCAGCGGUGCUGCUGAACGGCGUGCCCGGGAAGUGGUUCACGGUGCGCCGGGGGCUGCGGCAAGGCGACCCAUGCUCACCCUACCUCUUCCUCAUCGUCGCCGAUGUGCUGCAGUAG